AGACCAUUCCAUCUUCAGUGGAAGAUCAUUGAAUGUCUACAGCCACUGCUUUCUUCUUCUGGACAGACCUGACUUGGUUAAUGUGCAACAGGAUCAUAAAUUGUACCCUUUAUGGUCAUCUGUUCCACCAGGACCAAGAAUGUCAACGUGGUUAACUCAGGAAGAGCAGAUUCCAGACAGGAUUGACAGACCUGGUGUACAGGCCUCAGGGGCACUUUAAUGUUCUAGGAAAACAUUAGAUGGUGGUUAUAAUGCUUUACUUCCAGAGGCCUGGGUUCAUUUUGAGCCAAGCUGAGAAGAGCCUUGGAAGAUGAGGCAAGUUUUUGAAAACUGGAGGAAGGA